rnacentral:rRNA from 3 species
GGUAUUCCGUUACGAACGAGACCUUAACCUGCUAACUAGUCUGCUUGUGAACAACAGGUUGUACUUCUUAGAGGGACUAUUGUGCAAGAAGCCAAUGGAAGUUUAAGGCAAUAACAGGUCUGUGAUGCCCCUAGACGUGCUCGGCCGCACGCGCGUUACAAUGACUGGCGCAGAAAGUAUUUCCUGUCCUGGGAAGGUACGGGUAAUCUUAUUAAUACCAGUCGUGUUAGGGAUAGUUCUUUGGAAUUGUGGAUCUUGAACGAGGAAUUUCUAGUAAGUGCAAGUCAUCAGCUUGCGUUGAUUAUGUCCCUGCCGUUUGUACACACCGCCCGUCGCUUGUAGUAACGAAUGGUCUGGUGAACCUUCUGGACUGCGAUAGCAAUAUUGCGGAAAAAUAAGUAAACCCUACCAUUUGGAACAACAAGAAGUCGUAACAAGGUAUCUGUAGGUGAACCUGCAGAUGGAUCAUUA